rnacentral:rRNA from 1 species
GAUGAACGCUGGCGGCGUGCCUAAUACAUGCAAGUCGAGCGAACAGACGAGGAGCUUGCUCCUCUGACGUUAGCGGCGGACGGGUGAGUAACACGUGGAUAACCUACCUAUAAGACUGGGAUAACUUCGGGAAACCGGAGCUAAUCCCGGAUAAUAUAUUGAACCGCAUGGUUCAAUAGUGAAAGACGGUUUUGCUGUCACUUAUCGAUGGAUCCGCGCCGCAUUAGCUAGUUGGUAAGGUAACGGCUUACCAAGGCAACGAUGCGUAGCCGACCUGAGAGGGUGAUCGGCCACACUGGAACUGAGACACGGUCCAGACUUCUACGGGAGGCAGCAGUAGGGAAUCGUCCGCAAUGGGCGAAAGCCUGACGGAGCAACGCCGCGUGAGUGAUGAAGGUCUUCGGAUCGUAAAACUCUGUUAUUAGGGAAGAACAAAUGUGUAAGUAACUAUGCACGUCUUGACGGUACCUAAUCAGAAAGCCACGGCUAACUACGUG